UAACUGGAACUAGAAUCAAUGCUGGACUAAGUCUCAAGAGGAUAAAGAUUAUUGCAUUUUCUGGAAAAUAAGGAAUCAUUCAUAUGGAAUGUAACUCAAAGCUUCAAAGAGGAAACAAGGAAAAGGUGGGUAUCCUUAAGGAUACUAUUGAUAGGCAUCAGUUCUGAGCAAAGGAAGAUUCCUAAGGAUGAAGUUCCAGAAGAACAUGUCCUGCUAGUACACCACCUGAAACCUGCAGGUGAUCAUUCUGGGCAGAUAGAAAAGCGAUAUGAUUACCUAGUUGCCUUCAAAAAAGCUGCUAUAUUUACCUUUACCAAACAAAGUUUUGCUAUAAUAAGUUCUUUGAAAAUAAAAAUUAAGUAAAGAGUUGUAUCAGAGCUACAUGGUUUGGAGGAUCUGACCACUAACUGCAGCAGUGAAUAAAGAGGAAAUUGCAAAAAAAUAUAUUUUUCUUGGAAGGAGAGCUUCCUAGGAACAGCUGCAGCCUGAAGUGAAAGAGCACCACAAGUGCCCUUUCAUGCUGCGUCAGUCAGGUCAAGAGGAGACCACAACUCUGUCACACCACUUGACGAGUGAAAAAUAUGCAAGUAGAGCUCCCCACAAGAUAGGCACAUUCUCGCCUGUUGUGGUUUUGUGUGUUUUUUAGUUUGUUUGUUGUUUUAUUGUUUUGUUUUGUUUUCCCAUAGGAUUUGCUCUGACUAUAGCCUUUGACAUGUGACUUUUGGGCACCAGAACUAAGAAAGAUAGUGGGGAGUUGGGUGAAAGAGAGCUAAUUCUUCAUUAUCCCCUCUAGGAAAACCUGCAGCUGUGUGUUUAGUCUAUUUGAAUUAAUGUUAACUUGUAACGUCAUGUUGUCUUUGAGGUUCCACAUCUUACAUUUUAUUUUAAGAUUUUUUGUUCACUGGAAGAAAUAUGGGAGUACAUAGCUAUGUUUUAUACCUUUGCAAAUUAAGUAUAUUUCUGUUAAUAAGGUGAAAGCUUAAGCACUAACACAAAUGCUAACAUAUUAAAUGUUUUUCACAGAUAUGUAUUCUUCAUUAAGAAAAAUCAGAUAAAGUAUGGAUAAAUAUUCUGGUAUGUAAAAUUCCCUAAGAUAUAAAUCAUACAGAAAAAAGGAGGAAUUCAUUUGGCUAAAUGUACACACUAAGAGUGUGAAUGCCUGCACUUGAGCUAAUCACUUUAGGCUCCCCAGUAGUCAAAGGAGAGAAACAGCAUCUUCUAGGUCACAAUUCCUCUUAUCCUAAAAUAGGCAUCUGAAGUAGGUCAGAUGAACUGCGCCACGAGAGUGCCUCUUAUUCUCUACCAACUAUAAAGGGAGCCCUGGUUGAUUAAUUCAGAUUCAGUGUAGAUGUUUAAGGAUGAUGAGAUGAAUCGCAUUCAGGGAAUCUAGAAUGACUAUUAAGAGACCUACAACAAAAAGUGAGAAUUCUUGUUUUCCAGAGGUAUAGAAUACAACCAAGAUAAUUGCAUGCAUUUAGACACUGACUUUAGGUUCCUAAGUAAUUUAGGCAAUUUGGCAUAUUUUAUGUCAUAUAGUAUUUUCUUUUUUGCUCAGAGAGACUAUUGUCAACUUCUUAUCACUGUAUUUUAAUCUUAUGAUCCAUGACUCAUAUUCACUUUCUUUAAGAGAGA